rnacentral:piRNA from 1 species
UGGGGGUAUACUUGAUACACAUUCACGGA